GUGUCAGCCGCCGCGGUAAUACGGGGGGUGCAAGCGUUACUCGGAAUCACUGGGCGUAAAGAGAAUGUAGGCUGGUUAUUAAGUUGGAAGUGAAAUCCUAUGGCUCAACCAUAGAACUGCUUCCAAAACUGAUUACCUAGAAUAUGGGAGAGGUAGAUGGAAUUUCUGGUGUAGGGGUAAAAUCCGUAGAGAUCAGAAGGAAUACCGAAAGCGAAGGCGAUCUCCUGGAACAUAACUGACGCUAAGGCGUGAAAGCGUGGGGAGCAAACAGGAUUAGAUACCCUGGUAGUCCACGCCCUAAACGAUGAACACUAGUCGUCGGGAUGCUAGUCAUCUCGGUGAUGCACUUAACAGAUUAAGUGUUCCGCCUGGGGAGUACGGUCGCAAGNUUAAAACUCAAAGGAAUUGACGG
rnacentral:rRNA from 1 species